UGGCACAGUGUUCUAAGGCCUUCAGGGUGUU
rnacentral:piRNA from 1 species